AGAGUUUGAUCCUGGCUCAGGACGAACGCUGGCGGCGUGCUUAACACAUGCAAGUCGAACGGGUCACAGGCCUUCGGGCCUGUGGUUAGUGGCGAACGGGUGAGUAACACGUGAGCAACCUGCCCUUGACUCUGGAAUAACAGCUGGAAACAGCUGCUAAUACCGGAUACGACCUUCGAUGGCAUCAUCUGGAGGUGGAAAGCUCCGGCGGUCAAGGAUGGGCUCGCGGCCUAUCAGCUUGUUGGUGAGGUAACGGCUCACCAAGGCUUCGACGGGUAGCCGGCCUGAGAGGGCGACCGGCCACACUGGGACUGAGAUACGGCCCAGACUCCUACGGGAGGCAGCAGUGGGGAAUAUUGCACAAUGGGCGAAAGCCUGAUGCAGCAACGCCGCGUGCGGGAUGACGGCCUUCGGGUUGUAAACCGCUUUCAGUAGGGACGAAGGUAACCUGACGGUACCUACAGAAGAAGGACCGGCCAACUACGUGCCAGCAGCCGCGGUGAUACGUAGGGUCCGAGCGUUGUCCGGAAUUAUUGGGCGUAAAGGGCUUGUAGGCGGUCUGUCACGUCGGAAGUGAAAACUCAGGGCUUAACCCUGAGCCUGCUUCCGAUACGGGCAGACUAGAGGGAUGCAGGGGAGAACGGAAUUCCUGGUGGAGCGGUGGAAUGCGCAGAUAUCAGAGGAACACCGGUGGCGAAGGCGGGUUCUCUGGGCAUUUCCUGACGCUGAGAAGCGAAAGCGUGGGGAGCAAACAGGCUUAGAUACCCUGGUAGUCCACGCCGUAAACGGUGGGCACUAGGUGUGGGGAACAUUCCACGUUCUCCGUGCCGCAGCUAACGCAUUAAGUGCCCCGCCUGGGGAGUACGGCCGCAAGGCUAAAACUCAAAGGAAUUGACGGGGGCCCGCACAAGCGGCGGAGCAUGCGGAUUAAUUCGAUGCGACGCGAAGAACCUUACCCGGGUUUGACAUAUACCGGAAAGCUGCAGAGAUGCAGCCCCCGCAAGGUCGGUAUACAGGUGGUGCAUGGCUGUCGUCAGCUCGUGUCGUGAGAUGUUGGGUUAAGUCCCGCAACGAGCGCAACCCUCGUCCUAUGUUGCCAGCGGAUCAUGCCGGGGACUCUAAAGGAACUGCCGGUGACAAGCCGGAGGAAGGUGGGGAUGACGUCAAGUCCUCAUGGCCCUUACGGGCUGGGCUACACACGUGCUACAAUGGUGGUGACAGUGGGGAGCGAAGGGGCGACCCGGAGCCGAUCCCAUAAAAGCCAUCUCAGUUCGGAUUGCUCUCUGCAACUCGGGAGCAUGAAGGUGGAAUCGCUAGUAAUCGCGGAUCAGCAUGCCGCGGUGAAUACGUUCCCGGGCCUUGUACACACCGCCCGUCACACCAUGGGAGUUGGUUCGACCUUAAGCCGGUGUGCGAACCCGCAAGGGACGCAGCCGAUCACGGUCGGGUCAGCGACUGGGGUGAAGUCGUAACAAGGUAGCCGU
rnacentral:rRNA from 1 species